UACGUAGGGGGCAAGCGUUGUCCGGAUUUAUUGGGCGUAAAGAGCGUGUAGGCGGCUUGGUAGGUCCGCUGUGAAAACUCGAGGCUCAACCUCGAGAUGUCGGCGGAAACCACUUGGCUAGAGUCCGGAAGAGGAGAGUGGAAUUCCCGGUGUAGCGGUGAAAUGCGCAGAUAUCGGGAAGAACACCUAUGGCGAAGGCAGCUCUCUGGGACGGUACUGACGCUGAGACGCGAAAGCGUGGGGAUCAAACAGG
rnacentral:rRNA from 1 species